AGAGCGAACGCUGGCGGCAGGCCUAACACAUGCAAGUCGAGCGCCCCGCAAGGGGAGCGGCAGACGGGAGAGUAACACGUGGGAACGUACCCUUUGGUUCGGAACAACACAGGGAAACUUGUGCUAAUACCGGAUAAAGCCCUUACGGGGAAAGAUUUAUUGCCAAAGGAUCGGCCCGCGUCUGAUUAGCUUGUUGGUGAGGUAACGGCUCACCAAGGCUACGAUCAGUAGCUGGUCUGAGAGGAUGAUCAGCCUCACUGGGACUGAGACACGGCCCAGACUCCUACGGGAGGCAGCAGUGGGGAAUAUUGGACAAUGGGCGCAAGCCUGAUCCAGCCAUGCCGCGUGGAUGAUGAAGGCCCUAGGGUUGUAAAGUCCUUUCGACGGGGAAGAUAAUGACGGUACCCGUAGAAGAAGCCCGGCUAACUUCGUGCCAGCAGCCGC
rnacentral:rRNA from 1 species